AACGAACGCUGGCGGCAGGCCUAACACAUGCAAGUCGAGCGCCCCGCAAGGGGAGCGGCGGACGGGUGAGUAACGCAUGGGAACGUACCCUUUGCUACGGAAUAGCCUCGGGAAACUGGGAGUAAUACCGUAUGUGUCCUUCGGGAGAAAGAUUUAUCGUCAAGGGAUCGGCCCGCGUUGGAUUAGGUAGUUGGUGGGGUAAUGGCCUACCAAGCCGACGAUCCAUAGCUGGUUUGAGAGGAUGAUCAGCCACACUGGGACUGAGACACGGCCCAGACUCCUACGGGAGGCAGCAGUGGGGAAUCUUAGACAAUGGGCGCAAGCCUGAUCUAGCCAUGCCGCGUGAGCGAUGAAGGCCUUAGGGUUGUAAAGCUCUUUCAGGGGGGAAGAUAAUGACUGUACCCCCAGAAGAAGCCCCGGCUAACUCCGUG
rnacentral:rRNA from 1 species